rnacentral:rRNA from 1 species
GAACGCUCUCGGGGAAACCUGAGGGAGUGGCGGACGGGUGAGUAACACGUGGGAACCGACCCCGAAGUGAGGAAUACCGGCGAGAAAUCGCCGACAAUACCGCAUGAGCUUCUGCAAGGAAGGAAAGCUGGGCAACCGGCGCUUUGGGACGGGCCUGCGCCCGAUUAGCUGGUUGGUGAGGUAAGAGCUCACCAAGGCGACGAUCGGUAGCUGGUCUGAGAGGACGAGCAGCCACACUGGGAUUGAGAACGGCCCAGACUCCUACGGGGGGCAGCAGUGAGGAAUUUUCGGCAAUGGGGGAAACCCUGACCGAGCAACGCCGCGUGCAGGAAGAAGGUUUUCGGAUCGUAAACUGCUUUACUGAGGGAAGAGAGAGGACGGUACCUCAGCAACAAGCCCCGGCUAACUACGUGCCAGCAGCCGCGGUAAU